AGGGAAUCUUCCACAAUGGACGCAAGUCUGAUGGAGCAACGCCGCGUGAGUGAAGAAGGCUUUCGGGUCGUAAAACUCUGUUAUUGAAGAAGAACGUGUGUGACAGUAACUGGUCAUGCAGUGACGGUAUUCAAUCAGAAAGUCACGGCUAACUACGUGCCAGCAGCCGCGGUAAUACGUAGGUGGCAAGCGUUGUCCGGAUUUAUUGGGCGUAAAGCGAGUGCAGGCGGUCUUUUAAGUCUGAUGUGAAAGCCUUCGGCUUAACCGAAGAAGGGCAUCGGAAACUGGGAGACUUGAGUGCAGAAGAGGAGAGUGGAACUCCAUGUGUAGCGGUGAAAUGCGUAGAUAUAUGGAAGAACACCAGUGGCGAAGGCGGCUCUCUGGUCUGUAACUGACGCUGAGGCUCNAGCGUGGUGCAACAAGAUAGA
rnacentral:rRNA from 1 species